AUGCGAGAUUCAUUUGUGGCUAGAAAAGGAGAUAAGAAUUAUCGAUUCUUCCAUAACUCCAUGAAGUCCAGGAUUAGAUGUAAUUCUAUAUCUAUGUUGGAGGGGAAUGAGGGUAGAGUGGAAGGUGCAAAUGAUAUUAAAGAGGCAAUCAAAGUGAAUUUUGAGGACUUCUUCAAAGAAACCAAGUUUAAUAGAUCAGUCCAUGAGGAUUUAGAAUUCAAGAAGUUUAAUGCUCAUGAUAGGAGUUGGUUAGAAAUACCUUCACCGUAG